UCCUGGUCCAAGCCAAGUUCUGAAUCUGAGAGCGGGACACCAGCCCGAAGCCAAAGGGUCUCUCCCAGGAGACGCAUGAGAUCCUGGAGGCUUCCUUGGUCCCUGCAGAUGAAGAGAGAAGGCUUCCAUCCUCCAGUAUAUCCUGGUUGCUACUGGCAUCAGCACUGCAAAAACCUUGUGUGCCUCAGAAUACGAAGUGCCCUGCCUUCCAUCCCAGCCCACCCAGACAAGCAACUGAACAAAGUGGAAUAUGGGCUAGUGUUGAGAAGCCAUUCUCAAACCUCCACCAGGGGCUUGCUACAUGACUGGGGACUCCAUGCAAGAAAAUGUGGGGCUCCUCAUUCACAAAAUAGAAAAAGGUUGAUCGAAACUGGAACAUCAGGUCUGCCAAAACCCAAAACUGUUGGCCUA
rnacentral:lncRNA from 1 species